rnacentral:tRNA from 1 species
GGAGGCGUACCCAAGUGGUCGAAGGGGGCUGACUCGAAAUCAGCUAGGGCGGCUCAUGCCGCCGCGGGGGUUCGAAUCCUCUCGCCUCCA